rnacentral:siRNA from 1 species
CCUUUGGUGUGCAUUGGUCGG